AACAAAUUCUGAAUCCAGUAUGAACAGAGCUUAUGUAACAACUAAAAUGGGUGAUUCCUAGCAGCUAUAAGUAUUAAUUAAUGUGGUUUCCCCUUUUUGCAGGUUUUGCCUAUAAUAAUUUCACCAAUCAAGACAUGCAGACUUCUGUCCGAUGCUAUGAAAAUUAACCGAGGCACAUUAACUGCAGGAAAUCUUCAAAGGGCUCCUCCUACAGAUGUUCUGAACGCGGCUGCACCCCGGCAAUUUUUUCCUGCGCCCAGGUACUGACUGUAAGGAACAAGCUGCAUAAAAAGAAGCGUGGGGUGUAGGAGAAGGAGCGCUGUGAGGAGUGUACCAGGAGUCAUGCCUAU
rnacentral:lncRNA from 1 species